rnacentral:rRNA from 1 species
UACAAGCCGAAUUAAGGUGAAACCGCGAAAGGCUCAUUAAAUCAGUUAUGGUUCCUUAGAUCGUACCCACAUUUACUUGGAUAACUGUGGUAAUUCUAGAGCUAAUACAUGCAAACAGAGCUCCGACCGGAGACGGAAGGAGUGCUUUUAUUAGAUCAAAACCAAUCGGCGUCGGUCCGUUCUCGCGGAUCGUUCGUCGCAUUCACUGGUGACUCUGAAUAACUUUACGCUGAUCGCACGGUCUAGCACCGGCGACGCAUCUUUCAAAUGUCUGCCUUAUCAACUGUCGAUGGUAGGUUCUGCGCCUACCAUGGUCGUAACGGGUAACGGGGAAUCAGGGUUCGAUUCCGGAGAGGGAGCCUGAGAAACGGCUACCACAUCCAAGGAAGGCAGCAGGCGCGCAAAUUACCCACUCCCGGCACGGGGAGGUAGUGACGAAAAAUAACGGUACGGGACUCAUCCGAGGCCCCGUAAUCGGAAUGAGUACACUUUAAAUCCUUUAACGAGUAUCAAUUGGAGGGCAAGUCUGGUGCCAGCAGCCGCGGUAAUUCCAGCUCCAAUAGCGUAUAUUAAAGUUGUUGCGGUUAAAAAGCUCGUAGUUGAAUCUGUGUCCCGCGCUGUCGGUUCACCGCCCGCGGUGUUUAACUGGCACGUCCGCGGGACGUCCUGCCGGUGGGCCCGUCCUGUGCGUUUCGGCGUACGGCGGCCCGACUCACAAUCCCGCUUCGGUGCUCUUGACUGAGUGUCGAGGUGGGCCGGCACGUUUACUUUGAACAAAUUAGAGUGCUCAAAGCAGGCCGAAAUCACGCCUGAAUACUGUGUGCAUGGAAUAAUGGAACAGGACCUCGGUUCUAUUUUGUUGGUUUUCGGAAUUCCGAGGUAAUGAUUAAUAGGGACAGAUGGGGGCAUUCGUAUUGCGACGUUAGAGGUGAAAUUCUUGGAUCGUCGCAAGACGGACAGAAGCGAAAGCAUUUGCCAAAAAUGUUUUCAUUAAUCAAGAACGAAAGUCAGAGGCUCGAAGGCGAUCAGAUACCGCCCUAGUUCUGACCAUAAACGAUGCCAGCUAGCGAUCCGCUGACGUUCCUCCGAUGACUCGGCGGGCAGCUUCCGGGAAACCAAAGCUUUUGGGUUCCGGGGGAAGUAUGGUUGCAAAGCUGAAACUUAAAGGAAUUGACGGAAGGGCACCACCAGGAGUGGAGCCUGCGGCUUAAUUUGACUCAACACGGGAAACCUCACCAGGCCCGGACACCGGAAGGAUUGACAGAUUGAGAGCUCUUUCUUGAUUCGGUGGGUGGUGGUGCAUGGCCGUUCUUAGUGUGGUGCAACAAUUUGCUUUGUUGCUUUAACGAACGAGAUUGAGCAAUAACAGGUCUGUGAUGCCCUUAGAUGUUCUGGGCCGCACGCGCGCUACACUGAAGGAAUCAGCGUGUCCUCCCUGGCCGAGCGGUCUGGGUAACCCGCUGAACCUCCUUCGUGCUAGGGAUUGGGGCAAUUUUUCCCCAUGAACGAGGAAUUCCCAGUAAGCGCGAGUCAUAAGCUCGCGUUGAUUACGUCCCUGCCCUUUGUACACACCGCCCGUCGCUACUACCGAUGGAAUGAUUUAGCGAGGUCUCCUUUAUGGUACGCGGCGGCGUUU